rnacentral:lncRNA from 1 species
AUUGAUGUAAUAAGCAAAUUGCAGUGGGAAGGGGAGAAGCGAAAAGAUAAAUAUAUAUGUAUAUGUGUGUAUAUAUAUGUGUAUAUGUGNNNNNNNNNNNNNNNNNNNNNNAUGUAUAUAUGUAUAUAUACAUAUAUAUGUGUAUGUAUAUAUAUGUAUAUACACACACACACACACACACAUACACACUCCUCAGACUAUGGAGGAUUCAUCACCAGACUGAGAAGCAACAGCCUGGGCUCCAGAGUCAGCCACUCAUCUGUACACAGACAAGAAGAUGUCUCUUGAAGCUUCGUUGCAGUCUGGGACCCUAGCUCUUUUUGUAACCAGUUGUUCGGCAUGAGGCCCAGUCACAAGGGCCCUUCGAGACUGGGCUCAGAUAACACAAAAGGUCAACUUGUUUUUGCGAUUGUCUGUUGUUUUUCAAUAACUAACGUAUAGGUAUAGAUUGAAAUAGAGAUUUCUUCGAAACAGUGCUGGAUGAAUUCCUCAAGGGGCUCACACAACCUGUUCUGGGACUUGGUGACCAUUGUUUGUGUCCAUGUUCAAUUGAGUUCAAAUGUAAUAUCUAACUUUUUUUCCACACCUGUAUAAGCAUAAAGGGUUAUUUGGAGACUAGAAAGAGAGGUUUGCCAUUAAAUUUGGCUCAAAUAGUAGAGUUCCUUCUGUGGUCCAAAAUGCCCCCUCUCCCUCUGGUAGCAUCUCUCACCCUUCUCUCCCAAGUGCCAAUCUUCAAGAUCCAGUACAGUCACCACCUCCUCAUUACACUCUUUCUUCUCAGUUCCCCAAGGACCACUGCCUAUUUGAGCUGAGAGAAGCACAUUCUCUAUAUGUUUGGGGCUUAGCUGCUGAGUGGAUUUUCUCAUGCAGUUACUUAAGUGACGGUGGCUGAAUUAGUUGAGGACUUAGCUCAUUACUGUGCUCAGAAGUGCCCCAAACUGUGCUCUGUACUUUAUCAUGGUCAGGAGGAUUACUCAUAGAAUGUUGAUUAGCAAAGGGCAUAUGAACACAGGACAAAAUGUGAAAUGAAGUGGAGGAGUUCAGAUGCCAGUGGAGAACACGGCUGUUCUUCCUCUGCUUUAAGGCUCCCUUCCUUGCAGGGGGAACCAAGGAAGAAAUCAUCAACAACAUGAAAAAUCCUCCUUCUCCCUGGAAAUGAACAAAAUGUGCAUUCACUACAGGAGUGCAACACUGGGGAAAGUUAAUUUUAUCUACACAUGACAAAUCUAUCAUUUCGGUUUCACCCUAAGUUUUGUUUAUGGAAGUUCUUGGAAAGAUAAGGGAAAUAGCAAAGAAAGAGAGCAGGGGAGUCCUCGGUUGCUAACAGCAGUCCUGGACUGGAAUCCAUUGGCAAAAGUAGCAAUAGCAUGCAUUGGCUUGUUUGAGAAGCCCUGGGUGAGCCUUUGUUGCAUAAAGUAGGAGGUCUGUUAUUGUCUUGGUAGCAUAUGCCUUCAUUAUAAGUUUGCCUCUUUGAAAGAAUAUUCAAAGACCAACACAAAAGAGAACAUUUCCAGAUCCAAGAGAGUGUAUG